UAGGUGAAUGUCACAUUGGCAUAAAUAUUCAAUUAACUAGCUUUCAGGUCACUUCUAAUAUUUAAUCGAACACCACAAGUCAAUUUCAAUUAUAUUGUCCCUUCUUAGAAUUGUGGAGACUGUAGGUGAAAGUGUGACUAAUCUCCAACUAGGCUCAAUGGCAAUUGUUCAUUCUCAAGGACGUUCCUUCACUAGACCGACACCAUUGGUCUUUUGAGGUUUGUUUGUUUUUUUCUCAAUAGUUCACUUUUAUGAGCUUGGCUUCUGGUCUUCCUCCUCCUUCUGACUUAAUUUGUUGUUUCCUUCACUUAUUUUGUGAGGUUGAAUUUGGGGAUAUCAUCUCGAGGGAGAGAGAAAUUGGUGAUGUUCCACUUUGCAGUGUAAUUUCUAAAAUUGGCCAGCUUGUUCCUUAAAUAAGCAUUGGCCCAUGAAUGAGUAACUUGUAUAAUCUUGCUAACUAUUUCUUCUCUCUGGAUCUGAAUUUGCAAAUUUGGGUGCAGGCUUUAUAAUUGAACUGGUGCAAGCUAUUAUAGUGUCAACAAACUGACUUCUGCUGGUUGCAAAGUAAAGAUUUGAAGAUUUGCACUAAAUAACAAAAAUGAAGGGGUGAUUUGAAGAAAAUUCAAAUUGUUUGACAGUAUAUGAUUGAGAUUUGGAAAGUUGUAGGGUUAAAUAUCUAAGGAGAUAAACUAGAAUUUUUAUGGUUUUCAAUUUGGCAUUGUAAUUUAAAUUUGAGCCAAUCUGUUUUAUUAUAUACUAAUUAUCAGUUAAUUUUCAAUCUCUGUUCCUAAUUAAAUUUAUAUAAAUUCUCAGUUAA